UACGUAGGGGGCAAGCGUUGUCCGGAAUCAUUGGGCGUAAAGAGCGUGUAGGCGGCCUGAUAAGUCGGCUGUGAAAGUCAAGGGCUCAACCCUUGAAUGCCGGCCGAUACUGUCAGGCUAGAGUCCGGAAGAGGCGAGUGGAAUUCCUGGUGUAGCGGUGAAAUGGCGCAGAUAUCGGGAGGAACACCAGUGGCGAAGGCGACUUCCUGGCCUGUUCUUGACGCUGAGGCGCGAAAGCUAGGGUAGCAAACGGG
rnacentral:rRNA from 1 species